ACACAUGCAGUCGNACGGUGACGGCAGACGUUGCUCUGUUUGAUCAGUGGCGAACGGGUGAGUAACACGUGAGUAACCUGCCCCUCACUCUGGGAUANCAUCGGGAAACCGGUGCUAAUACUGGAUACGAGAUGCCUCCGCAUGGGAGUGUCUGGAAAGAUUUAUUGGUGGGGGAUGGACUCGCGGCCUAUCAGCUUGUUGGUGGGGUAAUGGCCCACCAAGGCGACGACGGGUAGCCGGCCUGAGAGGGCGACCGGCCACACUGGGACUGAGACACGGCCCAGACUCCUACGGGAGGCAGCAGUGGGGAAUAUUGCACAAUGGGCG
rnacentral:rRNA from 1 species